ACGAAGGUCCCAAGCGUUAUCCGGAUUUAUUGGGUUUAAAGGGUGCGUAGGCGGCUUAUUAAGUCAGUGGUGAAAGCCCCAAGCUUAACUUGGGAACUGCCAUUGAUACUGAUGAGCUUGAGUAGAUUUGAGGCGGGCGGAAUGUGUCGUGUAGCGGUGAAAUGCUUAGAUAUGACACAGAACACCAAUUGCGUAGGCAGCUCGCUAAACUCUUACUGACGCUGAGGCACGAAAGCAUGGGGAUCAAACAGGA
rnacentral:rRNA from 1 species